rnacentral:rRNA from 1 species
GACGAACGCUGGCGGCGUGCUUAACACAUGCAAGUCGAACGGAAAGGCCCUGCUUUUGUGGGGUGCUCGAGUGGCGAACGGGUGAGUAACACGUGAGUAACCUGCCCUUGACUUUGGGAUAACUUCAGGAAACUGGGGCUAAUACCGGAUAGGAGCUCCUGCUGCAUGGUGGGGGUUGGAAAGUUUCGGCGGUUGGGGAUGGACUCGCGGCUUAUCAGCUUGUUGGUGGGGUAGUGGCUUACCAAGGUUUUGACGGGUAGCCGGCCUGAGAGGGUGACCGGCCACAUUGGGACUGAGAUACGGCCCAGACUCCUACGGGAGGCAGCAGUGGGGAAUAUUGCAGAAUAGGCGGAAGCCUGAUGCAGCAACGCCGCGUGCGGGAUGACGGCCUUCGGGUUGUAAACCGCUUUCGCCUGUGACGAAGCGUGAGUGACGGUAAUGGGUAAAGAAGCACCGGCUAACUACGUG